GGGGAAUAAGCUCAAGUGGUAGAGCGCUCGCUUAGCAUGCGAGAGGCAACGGGAUCGAUGCCUGCAUUUUCCA
rnacentral:tRNA from 1 species